GAAAAGAAACCAACCGGGAUUGCCUCAGUAACGGCGAGUGAAGCGGCAAGAGCUCAAAUUUGAAAGCUGGCUCCUUCGGGGUCCGCAUUGUAAUUUGCAGAGGAUGCUUCGGGUGCGGCCCCUGUCUAAGUGCCCUGGAACGGGCCGUCAGAGAGGGUGAGAAUCCCGUCUGGGAUGGGGUGUCCGCGCCCGUGUGAAGCUCCUUCGACGAGUCGAGUUGUUUGGGAAUGCAGCUCUAAAUGGGUGGUAAAUUUCAUCUAAAGCUAAAUACUGGCCGGAGACCGAUAGCGCACAAGUAGAGUGAUCGAAAGAUGAAAAGCACUUUGAAAAGAGAGUUAAAAAGCACGUGAAAUUGUUGAAAGGGAAGCGCUUGCGACCAGACUCGCCUCCAGGGUUCAGCCGGCAUUCGUGCCGGUGUACUUCCCUGGGGGCGGGCCAGCGUCGGUUUGGGCGGCCGGUCAAAGGCUCCCGGAAUGUAGUGCCCUCCGGGGCACCUUAUAGCCGGGAGUGCAAUGCGGCCAGCCUGGACCGAGGAACGCGCUUCGGCACGGACGCUGGCAUAAUGGUCGUAAACGACCCGUCUU
rnacentral:rRNA from 1 species